rnacentral:rRNA from 1 species
GUUGAUCCUGCGGGAGGUCGCUGCUAUUGGAGUUCGACUAAGCCAUGCAAGUUAGAUGACCUCGUGUCAUCGGCAAACUGCUCAGUAACACGUCGAUAACCUGCCCUUAGGAUUGGGAUAACCUCGGGAAACUGAGGCUAAUACCUUAUAGAGGAUUAUGUCUGGAAUGACUUUUCCUUCAAACGCAAGGCCUAAGGAUGGGACGGCGGCCGAUUAGGUUGUUGGCGGUGUAAUGGACCACCAAGCCAAAGAUCGGUACGGGUCUUGAAAGAGAUAGCCCGGAGAAGGGCACUGAGAUACUGGCCCUAGCCCUACGGGGUGCAGCAGGCGCGAAAACUAUACACUACACGCAAGUGUGAUAAGGGAACUCCAAGUGCUUAUACUAUGUAUAGGCUUUUGUCAAAGUCAAAACCUUUGGCGAAUAAGUGGUGGGUAAGACGGGUGCCAGCCGCCGCGGUAACCCCCGCGCCACAAGUGGGGACCACAUUUAUUGGGCCUAAAGCGUCCGUAGCCGAUCUAGUAAAUCUGCUGUGAAAUUGUUGCGCUUAACGUAACAGCGCGCAGUGGACACUGCUAGAAUAGGGACUGGGGGGAGUCAUGAGUAUUUCUGGGGGAGCGGUAAAAUGUUAUAAUCCCAGAAGGACUACCCGUGGUGAAAACGUAUGACUAACACAGAUCCGACGGUGAGGGACGAAAGCUGGGGGAGCAAUCCGGAUUAGAUACCCGAGUAGUCCCAGCUGUAAACUCUGCGAGCUAGGUGUCACGUAUUCUUCGUGAAUGCGCGGUGUCGUAGUGAAGACGUUAAGCUCGCCGCCUGGGGAGUAUAGUCGCAAGACCGAAACUUAAAGGAAUUGGCGGGGGAGCACUACAAGGGGUGCGGCGUGCGGUUUAAUCCAAUUCAACACGGAGAACCUCACCAGGAGCGACGGCAGGAUGAAAGACAGUCUGAAGGGCUUUCUUGACGAGCCGAGAGGUAGCGCAUGGCCGUCGUCAGCUCAUGCCGUAAGGUGUCCUGUUAAGUCAGGCAACGAGCGAGACCUGUACCUACAAUUGCUAACAACUAGUUUACUAGGAUUGAGCACAUUGUGGGGACUGCCUCUGAAAAGAGGAGGAAGGUGCAGGCUACGGUAGGUCUGUAUGCUCCGAAUCUUCUGGGCUACACGCGCGCAACAAUGGUAACGACACUGGGAUGCAACUCCGAAAGGAGAAGCUAAUCCUCGAAACGUUAUCCUAGUUCAGAUUGAGGGUUGAAACUCACCCUCAUGACGUUGGAAUCCCUAGUAAUCGGACGUUAGCAUCGUCCGGUGAAUAUGUCCCUGCUCCUUGCACACACCGCCCGUCAAACCACCUGAGUAGGGUUUAGGUGAGGUCUCAUUUUUAAUGAGUUCGAACCUAAGCUUUGCGAGGAGGGUUAAGUCGUCACAAGGUA